CCAAGAUAGCUAGGACUCCUGGUGCUCAAUGAACUCUUCUUUCUCUGGAAAAAGAAAGGGAGGUCACUGGAGAGGUCCACUGCAAACAAAGUCUUUUCCUUUAGCAACAUGAAGUGGGAUUUGGCUCUUCUAUCUCCGCUCUCAAAGCUAGAAGCCAAAAGCACCUAAAGGUUGAAGAAAAUUCAAAGACCGGAGGGCAUCUCUCUCUCUCAUUCUCACCAAUUCCAUCCCACUCCUCACACAGGACAGAGAAUUCUUCUCCAUCGAUAAAGAGAGUUCCAUACCAAUGGGCUUCGGGAAUAAGGACAGUAUUACGGACUGGACCUUAGGAUUCACUACUAGAGAGAAUUCACUGGAUUAUUACCAAUGGGAGAAAUAGGAAGGAAGAACUAGUGAUAGUGCUGGGGAAAAAAAGGAACAAAAGAUCACUGGAACAUUUUUAAAGAUGCUUGGGAAAGAACAGAAGGCAAUUCUGAUGGAA